rnacentral:rRNA from 1 species
UACGGGGGGGGGCAAGCGUUGUUCGGAAUUACUGGGCGUAAAGGGCUCGUAGGUGGCCAACUAAGUCAGACGUGAAAUCCCUCGGCUUAACCGGGGAACUGCGUCUGAUACUGGAUGGCUUGAGUUUGGGAGAGGGACGCGGAAUUCCAGGUGUAGCGGUGAAAUGCGUAGAUAUCUGGAGGAACACCGGUGGCGAAGGCGGCGUCCUGGACCAAUACUGACACUGAACAGCGAAAGCCAGGGGAGCAAACGGG